UUCUUUAUCUUAUUUCAGGAACUAGUGACAUUCAGGGAUGUGACCAUUGAUUUCUCUGAAGAGGAAUGGGAAUGCCUGGAACCUGCUCAGAAGAAUUUAUACAGAGAUGUGAUGUUAGAGAACUAUAGAAACCUGGUCUUCCUGGGUGAGGAUAACUUUCUUUGGGAUUUCUAAAUAAGUAUUAAUAUUUAAUUUUCUUUACUUGAAGAAUAUUUUUUUUACAUCUAAAACCUAGUUUUAUUUAUUUGGUUUUUUUUAAAUUUUUUAUUGUUGGUUGUUCAAAACAUUACAUAGUUCUUGAUAUAUCAUAUUUCACACUUUGAUUUGUUCUUUUUUAAACUUAAAUUUUUUUCUAAUUAGUUUUAUAUGAGAGUAAAACACAUUUUGACACAUCAUACAUAAAUGGAGUAUAACUUCUAAUUCUUCUGUUUGUACCUGAUGUAGAAUUACAGAAGUCAUAUAAUCAUAUAUUCACCUAGGAUAAAAGUGAUUCAUUCUACUAUCCUUUCUACACCUUUAACCUCUCCUCUUUCUUCAAUCUCCUCCAUCUAAUCUAAAGUACCUCUGUUUUUCCCUAGCUACCCCCUUAAUGUGAAUUAUUUGCAUUCUAGAGAAAAUAUUUGGCCUUUGGUUCUUUGGGAUUGGCUUAUUUCACUUAGCAUAAUGUUUCCCAGUUGUAUCCUUUUACCAGCAAAGCCAUAUAUCACUCUUGUUUUUGGCUGAGUAAUAUUUCACUGUGUAAAUGUACCAUUUUUUUUUUUUUAUCCAUUCAUCUGUUGAAGAGCACCUAGGUUGGUUCCAUAAUUGAGCUGUUGUGAAUUGAGCUCCUAUAUACAUUGAUGUGGCUAUAUUUAUAGAAUGCCGAUUUUAAGUUCUUUGAGUAUAAACUGAGGAGUGGGAUAACUGGGUCAAAUUGUGUUUUCAUUACAAGUUUUAUUUUAAGGAAUCUCCACACAGCAUUCCAGAAUGGUUGCACCAAUUUGCAGUCCUACUCCCCACAUCUUUGCCACAUUCAUGUUGCUUGUACUCUUAAUAGUUUUUAUUCUGACAAGUGAGAGGAAGUCUAAGUGUAGUUUUGAUUUCCAUUUCUCUAAUUGCUGGAGAUGUUGAACAUUUUUUCAAAUAUUUGUUGAUCAAUUGCAAUUCUUCUGUGAAAUUUCUUAGUUCCAUUUAUUGAUUGGGUUAUUUGUUCUUUUGGUGUUAAGUGUUUGGUUCUUUAUAUUUCCUGAAGAUAAUGCUCAUUCUGAAGUACACGUGGCAAAGAUUGCUCCCAAUUUGUAGUCUGUCUAUUCAUGUUCUCAUUGUUUUUUUUUUCUGUAAAGAAGCUUAUUAGUUUGGUGCAUCCUAUUUAUUGAUUCUUGAUUUUACUUCUUGCAGUUUAGGAGUCUUGUUAAGGAAAUCAGUUCCUAACCUGACAUGGUGAAGAUUUGGUGCUAUUUUUUCUUCUAUUAGGUGAUGGACCUCAAUUCUAUUGCCUAAGUCUUUGAUCCACUUUGAGUUGAUUUUUGUGCAGGAUGAGAGAUAGGGGUUUAAUCUCAUUUUGCUACAUAUGGAUUUCCAGUUUUUCCAGCACAGUUGUUGAAGAGGCUAUCUUUUCUCCAAUGAAUGCUUUCAGUUCUUUCUUUCUAAUAUGAGAUAAUUGUAAUUCUGUGAGUUUAUGUGUCUUUUAUUCUAUACCAUUUUUCUACAUGUUUGUUUUGGUGCAAUAGCAUUCUGUUUUUUUACUAUAUCUCUGUAAUAUCAUUUAAGUUCUGGUAUUGUGAUGCCUCCUGCUUCACUUGUCUUUCUAAAGGCUGCUUUGGCUAUUCUGAGCCUCUUAAUUUUCCAAAUAAAUUUUAAGAUUGCUUUUUCUGUUUCUAUGAAGACUGUCAUUGGUAUUUUAGUAGGAAUUUUGUUAAAUCUUUAUAAUGCUUUUAAUGGUAUGGCCAUUUUGACAGUGUGAAUUCUGCCUUUCCAAGAGCAUGGGAGAAUGGGAGAUCGUUCCAUCUUUCAUGGUCUUCUUCAAUUUCUUUCUUUAGUAUUGUGUAGUUUUAAUUGUAGGGGUCUUUCACCUUUUUUGUUAGAUUGAUUCCCAAAUAUAUAUAUAUAUACACACACACACACACACUUUUUUUUUUUUUAAUUUGAGGGUUCUUGUGAAUGUGGUAGUUUUUCUAGUUUCUCUUUCAUGUGAUUCAUCAGUGAUGUACAAGAACAUGUUUGAUUUGUGGGUGUUGAUUCUGUAUCCUGCUGCUUUGCUGAAUUCAUUUAUUAGUUCUAAAUUUUCCAGUGAUAAUUUUUGGGUCUUUUGAAAAUAGAAAUGUAUUGUUAGGAAAUAGUGAUAGUUUGAGUUAUUUUUCUGUUAGUUUCCAUUUAAUUUAUUUCUUUUGUCUUAAGUUCUCUGGAAGGGUUUUCAAGGAUGAUGUUAAAUAAAAGUGGUGAAAGAGGGCAUCCUUGUCUUGUUCCAGUUCUUAGGAGAAUUCGUUCAUUUUGUUUUUUUCACCAUUUAGAAUGAUGUUGUCCUUGAGUAUAGCAUAUGUAGCAUUUAUAAUGUUGAAGUAUAUAACUACUAUUCAUAGCUUUUUUUUGAACAUAUGUUGAUGCUAUAUUUUGUGAAAUGCUUUUUAUGCAUCAAUUGAGAUAAUUACGAUUCUCGUCUUUAAUUUUAUUGUUUUGAUGAAUUAUGCUUAUUGAUUUCUUAUGUUGAACGAGCCUUGCAUCCCUGGAGUGAACUCCACUUAUUUUAAUUAUGUUUUUAUUUGUGAUUUGCCAUGAUUUUCUUGAGAAGUUUUUCAUCUAUGUUCAUCAAGAAUAUUGGUCUACAGUUUUCUUUCCUUUAUGUGUCUUUGUCUGCUUUUUGUUAUCAGGAUGAGCUUCAUGAGAUGAGUUUGGACGGUUCUCUUUUUUUUGUUUUCAUGAAAUGAUUUGAGGACUGUUGGUGUUAAUUCUUUGAAUUUCUGCUGGAAUUUGUCUUAGAAUCCACUUGGUUUGUAGAAGUUGGCUGAUAAUCCAUUUGGUCCUCGGCUUUUUUUUUUUUUUUGAUAGCACCUUCUAUCUUAUUAGUUGAAAUUGAUGUGUUUAAAUUGUAUGUGUCCUCCUGAUUCAGUUUGGUUCCGUCAUAUGUCUCUAAAAAUUUGUCGACCUCUUCAAGAUUUUCUAUUUUAUUGUAUUAUAAUUUUUUGAAGUAGUUUCUGAUUAUCAUCUGUGUUUCAGUAGUGUCCAUCAUGAUAUUUCCUUUUUCAUCACAAAUUUUAGUAAUUUGACUUGUUCUCUUUCUCUUAAUUAGUGUGGCUGUGUUUAUCUAUUUUAUUUAUUUUUUAAAACAUUUUUUUUGUUUUAAUUUAUUAUAUGACAGCACAAUGCAUUACAAUUCUAUAACAUGUAUAGAGCUCAAAAUUUCAUAUCUCUGGUUGUACACAAAGGAGAGUCACAUCAUUCAUGUCUUCAUAGAUGUACUCAGGGUAAUGAUGUCUAUCUCAUCUCACUGUUUUUCCUACCCCUGCGCCCCUCCCUUUCCUUCCCUCCUCUUUGCCCUAUCUAGACUUCAUCUAAUCCUCUUCUCCACCACAGCAUUAUGAAUUAGCAUCCUUAAAUUAGAGCAAACAUUUGGCAUUUGUUUUUUAGGAUUGGCUAACUUCACUUAGCAUUAUAUUCUCCAACUUCAUUCAUUUAUCUGCAAAUGCUGUGAUUUUAUUCUCUCUUAUUGCUGAGUAAUAUUUUAUUGGGUAUUUUCUUUAUCCAUUCAUCAACCGAGACACAACUAGGUUAUUUCCACACUUUAGCUAUUGUGAAUCUUGCUGCUAUAAACAUUGAUAUGGAUGUGUCCCUGUAGUAUGCUGUUUUUAAGUCCUUUGGAUAUAGACCAAGGAGUGGGAAACCUUGGUCAAAUGUUGGUUCUAUUCCCAGUUUUCCAAGGAGUCUCCAUACUGCAUUCCGUAUUGGCUGCACCAAUUUGCAGUCCCACCAGCAAUGCAUGAGUGUGCCUUUUUCCCCACAUCGUCAUCAACUUGUUUUUUGCCCUUGAUUUCUUCUGCUAUGCAUUGGUUGCAUUGGUUGUUCAAUGUUAGAUUAGCUUCAGUUUUUUGUUUUGUUUUGUUUUGUUUGUUUGUUUUACUUUAUCAUUGAUUUCUAAUUGUUUUUUCCAUUAUGAUCUGUUAGAAUGCAGGGUAUAUUCUCUAUUUUUUUUUAAAUUUUCAUAGAAUUUUUUGUGGCCUAAUAUAUCUUCUAUUUGGUGUUGGGGUUGUUGUUCAGUGGUAGAUUGCUUGUUUAGCAUGUGUGAGGCACUGGCUUAAAAUGUUAAGCACCACUUAUAAAUAAAAUGGAUAAUCUAAAAAUUGAAAAAAAUCUACACAGUCUAUUUUAGAGAUGCAACCAUGUGCUGCUAAGAAGAAAGUGUAAUCACUUGUUAAUGAAUGAAAUACUCAAUAUAUUUCUUUUAAAUCUAAAUUGUUGAUUGUACUUUUUAGUUUUUUGUAUUAUUCUUUGGAGGAUAUGUCCUCUGGUGACAGAGGUCUGCUAAAAUUACCCAGUAUUAUUAUGCUAUGGUCUAUUUGAUUCUUGAAAUUGAGAAGGGUUUGUCUGGUGUGUGUAGAUGCUCCAUAAAUAUUAACAAGUGUUAUGUCUUGUCGAUGUAUUAUUUGUUUAUACAGUAAACAAAUCUCUCCUGAUUAAUUUUGGCUUGAAGUUAACUUUAUCUGUUAUGAGGACAGAAACUCCUGCCUGUGUAGGAAAUCCAUGUGAGUGAUAUAUUCUUUUUCAUCCCUUUGCUUUUAUUCUGUGGAUGUCUUUGCUUAUGAGGGGAAUCUCUUGGAGACAGCAUAUCGUUUGAUCUUCAUUUUUAAUCCAUUCUUCCAGUGUAUGUCUUUUAAUUGAUGACUUUAGUCCGCUUACAUUCAAGGUUAUGAUUUAGAUAUGAUAUGUAUUCUCAGCCACUUGGGUUUAUUUCUGGUUUUUAAGUUGAAAUAAUUUCUCCUUUGAUUGAUUACUCCUGUAGCAUAAUUCCUCCCAUUGCUGAUUUUUUGUUUGUUUUUCAUUUUAUCUUCAUGGAAUAUUUUGUUGAGAAUGUUGUGUAGUGCAGGCUUUUGAGUUGUGAAUUUUUUUUAACUUUUGUUUAUCAUGGAAGUUUUUUAUUUUAUCAUCUGAUCUGAAGCUUAAUUUUUCUGGAUAUAGUAUUCUUCAUUGAAAUCCAUUUUUUCCCCUAAGAAUGUGGUAUUAAUAUCCUAGGACCUCUUAUCUUUGAUGUCUGGCUUGAAGUCAACUGAGAUCCCAAUUUCCCCCCACUCCAUAUGUAAUCUGAUAUUUUUUUCUCCCAGCCCUUAAAAUUCUAUCCUUAUUCUGUAAGUCAUUUUCAUUAUAAUGUCUUGGUGUGGGCCUAUUCUAAUUAUAUGCAUUUAGUGUCCUGUAAACCUCUUCUAUAUGAUCUUCCAUUUCAUUCUUUAGGGUUGGGAAAUUUUCUGAUAUUAUUUUAUUGAAAAAUUUGUGUAUUCUUUUGGUUUAGAUCUCUGCUCUUUCAUUUAUUUCAAUAAAUCUCCAAACUUCCGCUUUUCAUGUCAUCCCAUAUGUUUUGGAUGUUCUGAUCAUGGUUUCUUAACAUCUUCUCUGCAUAGUUAGCUUCAUUUACAAGAUUAUGUAUUUUGUCUCAUUGCCUGAUUUUAUGUCUUCCAAGUGGUCUAGUCUUUUGCUGAUUCUUCUAUUGAGUUUUUAUUUGAUUUAUUGAUUUCUUCACUUUGAGGAUUUCUACUGUUUUUUAUUAUUAUUUUUCUUUCAGAAUCUCUGCCUUUUGAAGUGAUCUGGAGUGUUGUCUUGAGCAUAAUGCUCCAACCUCUGGAUUGCUGGAGUGCAAGAGGUAAUAUAAUUGUCAGAAUUCCUGGAGGCAGUGUUUAGGUUGAAGUAGGCUCCAGACUCUUCACUGAACCCCAUUGUUUUGGAGAUUUUAAAUAAGCACACUUCCAGAGUCCGAGACUUACUGGUCCAGGCUGAAAGACUAUACUCCAAGGAUUUCACUUGGAUUCCCUUUUUGUGUUGGGGAGCCAACUGUGAGUCCCAUACCUCACAUGGAGACCCUACAGUUCCUGGUCUUGGAUUCAGACUCCAAUUUCUUCCCCCUUGUUCUUCCAAAUUCCUUACCAGAAGCAUCUCUCUCACUAGUAUUGUAAGGAGCCAGAUUGGAGAGGGAGGUGUCUGGAGGCUGAACAUGACCAGUAGUCUGUUAAGAGACUACCUCUCUCCAUGUUUGAUUUUGUCCUGGUCAUGUAAGAACACUAUAUGUCAUUCAGUGUGCGUUUAUUUAUUGGGCCUGUAUUUCAGGCCAAACUUGGAUUUAUUAGGCAUUGGUUCUGUCUGCUGCUAGCCUCUUUUCUGUGGCUGCAGAAUGUUUCCUUAUGAUGUCCUCUGCAUGCUUCUUGGAGGGAUGGUAGCUACUCUUCCUCAGCAGGAUAUUGGAUACUACAUCUUUCAGGUUUGUUGGACAAUGUCGUUGAUAUCUAAAUGCUGUUUCCAGAUAUGCUUUGGGUCUCCCAAGAAUCCAUACAGGCUUCUUUAAUUCCUUUAUCCCUCCAUUGUGCUCAUGGCGGAACAACUCUGGCUGGUGUUUCAAGCCUGGCUGUGGCAGCAGCUAUGUUGCCUGGGAUUUUUUUUUUUUUUAAUUUUUUAAAAUAUCCAACCCCCAACUCUCCAAGUCACUCCUCACUUUUUUUUUUAAACCCAUCUUGGAAAAACUGUGUGUCUGCUUUUUUGUUUUCCCACCACAGAGCAGCCAGGAAGGCAACCUCUCUAUUCUGCCAUCUUGAAAACCUCUCCCACAAUAAUUCCUUUUAUUUGUUAUUUUUAGUUAUGCAAAAAAGUAAAAACCAUUUGAUCCUUUAUACAAGCAUGGAAUACAUCUUAUUCUAAUUGGGAAACCAAUCUUGUGGAUGUACACAAUGUUGAAAUUCACCAUGUUGUAUUUAUAUAUGUAUAUAUGAAAGUAAUCAGAUUCAUUCUCCUUUAUUUCUAUCCUACUUUGUGUGUGUGUGUGUAUGUGUGUGUGCAUGCAGGAUGGGAUUGAACUCAGGGACUUGUGUAUGCAAGAAAAGCACUCUACCAACUGAGCUGUAUCCCCAGCCCUCUGUCUUCCUUUCUUCAUUCUUUGUCUAAUCCAAUAAACUUGUAUUUUUCCCCUCCCCACCCUCCCUUGUUAUGGGUUAGCAUGCACAUAUCAGAGAACAUUCAAUCUUUAUUUUUUUUAAUUGGCUCUUUAAUGUAGAUGAUGGUCUCCAGAUGCAUCCACUUAUAAGCAAAUGUCACAAAAUUAUUCUUCUUUAUGGCCAAUUUAUAUUUCAUUGUUUAUAUAUAUAUAUUACAGUUUCUUCAUUUAUUCAUCUUUCAUUGGACAUCUAGGUUGGCUCUGUAGCUUAGCUAUUUUGAAUUGUGUUGCUAUAAAUAUUGGUGUGUCUGUGUCAAUGUGAUAGCUGAUUUUUAACUCCUUUGUAUAUAUAUCACAUAGUGAUAUAACCAGGUUAAAUUCCAUUCCAAGUUGUUUUUUUUUGCAGAAUCUCUAUACUACUUUCUAGAGUGGUUGCACCAAUGUGCAAACAAAAUUGGAACAAAACUGUAAAAUUUUGAAAGCUACCUUUAAAAUGCUUUAUGCUACACAUUAGAACAAAUUCAUCAAUAUAUAGAUAAUAAAAAUUCAUGUAAUUCCAUCUGCUUGGAAUUCUGAUGCAGGAGGAUUGCAAAUUAAAAGCUAUCCUUAAUAACUUAGGUUUCAAUUCUUGCUUUUUAGGAAAAAAAUGGCAUUUUUUUUUUUGUACAGACAAGAAAAUGUUUUAUCUUUCGUACAGUGUUUGAAAUUUUAAUUGUGAUCAAAACCACAAAUAAAUCUUGCUAUUUCCAACAUCUCAAGUAUACUUAGUUCAAAUUGUUAUAUAAUAUGUCUUUAGAAAUUUUACAUUUCAAAAAAAAAUGAAAUCUCAUAAAAACAAGGUUUAUUUAUAUUCCUCCAUCUCAAUCACCAUUCUCCAUUUUGUUAAGUUUAGCUAUCUUAUUUAUACUAGUAGAACAGUUCAGUGUUUUUCUUUUAAAAAAAUUAUUUAUUUACUUUUUGUUUUAAGUGGACACAAUAUCUUUAUUUCAUUUUUAUGUGGUGCUGAAGACCGGACCCUGUGUCUCGUGCAUGCUUGGUGAGCACACUAUCAUUGAGCCACAACCCCAGAUCCACGUCAGUAGCUUCUAGUGACUUAUUUCAUUUAUCAAAGUCUGCUUUAUGUUUUUCCUUAUUAUAGCUCUUACAAAAUUUCCUACCUUUUGGACUUGAAAAAUAUUCUGUAGUUUAUAUAUUUUAAAUUUUCUUAUUUACUUAUUUCAAGGAAUAUUUUGUUUGCUUUGACAUGAUGUCUCUUUUGAAUAAUAUUUUAACAAUUGCAGAUGUCUUAAUUUGCUAUAAACUUUGGGUUUACUACCAUACUCACCUAGAAUUCUAUAUGCCUAGUGGUCUUAUUGCCAGUAUUAACUAUUGAAUAUUGUAGCUUUUUAAGUCAGAACAUUGUUCCAAUUUGGUUGUGUUUUGAAUAUUUUUGAGUUAUUCAUAACAAUUUGUAGAAUAUCUUUUUUCUCUUUUUGGGAAAAAUAACAUUUGGAGUUUAAUAGAUAUUGCAUGAACUUCCAGAAAACUUUGAGGAGUAGAAAUAUCUUUUAAUUUUGCCCUUCAAUUCAUGAAAAAGACCAAAUCAACUAAUUAUGAAAUAUUUAUGCAUUUUCUAACAUCACUUUCACUUUUUAAAAAAUAUUUUUUUACUUUUAGUUGGACACAAUAUUUAUUUCUAUGUCGUGCUGAGGAUCUAACCCAGUGCUUCACAGGUGCAAGGUGGGUGCUCUACCACUGAGCUACAACCCCAGUCCCUCUUUCACUUUUGAUUUUAAUUUUAUUCCAUAAUAUGUAGGAAAUGUUAAUAUUUUCAUAUAUAUUAACUUUUUAUAACCUGAGUUGUUCUAUCCAGUAUAAUAUUUCAUUUGCUAUUGAGAACAUUACUUUUGUAAAUGUAAUUUGUUCAAAAUAGUUUUUCUGAGUCUUUUUUUUUUUUCUGUUUGGUGAUUGCCGUUUUGUUUGACUUUACAAGAAGCUAGAUAUUGUGUCUCCUAGUACUACAAUGUUAUUUCAUACUACAAUGUUAUUUCCUAUUUUGUUAUCCAAUUUUUUCAAUAUUUGCUUUCUAUAUUUGGGAAGUAUGAUGUGAGUUACAAGUGUUCCUACUGUUAUUGUAGUAAUGGAGGGGGGAAAAAGUUUUCAUUUUUAAGUUUAAUUAAUGUACUUUGGUAAUGGGGAUUGAGGCCAAGGGUGCUGAACCACUGCUCCAAAUCUCUGGUCCUUUUUAUAUUUUAUUUUGAGACAUGAUUUCCCUAACUUGCUUGGGGCCUUUCUAAGUUGGUGAGGCUGGUUUGAGCUUCCUUAAGCAGCUUCCUUAGCUGCUGGGUUUUCAGGUGUGUGCUAGAGCACCUAGCUACUUUCAUCGUCAUAUAAUUUUCUAGUCUACCUGUCACAGUUUCUUUAUUAAAAAUCUGUUUUGCCCCAUGUAACUGUUAUUUCAAACUAUGUUUUCCAUAUUGUAAUUUUCUUAUUCCAUUUGGUUAAUGUUGUAUGCGAUAUUCUCAUAUUCUUUUGCAUUUUAUUUGUGUUCUUACACUUAAAGCAUUUUAUACACUACAUACAAUAGUAUUUUUUAGAUUAAGUUCUAUUAGUCAAGUUUUGUGAUUUGAUUGGUGUUUUAUAAUACUGCAGGUACAAUCUAACAAAUUUCUAAAAGUGAAGAAUUACUCCUUUCAGAGUUUCUUUAUUUCUUAUAAUUGUUUAUUCUACUUUUCUUAAUCAGUUGAUUUGUGGUUCAUUGAUUUUCAGACUGACAUGCUUUGAUUACUUUCCCAUAUCCCUUUGCAUAUUGUAUGGGUAUUUGUUUUGUAACUCACAUGAGAUUUUAUAAACAUUACAUUAUGGGGCUGGGGUUAUGGCUCAAUGGUAGAGUGCUUGCCUCACAUGUGUGAGGCACUGGGUUCAAUUCUCAGCACUGCAUAUAAAUAAAUGAACAAAAUAUAGUCUGUUAACACAAAAAAAUGUUUAAAAAAAGAUUACAUUAAAUACAUUAAAUUUACACUGUAUUUUGAGCUAGUAAUAAAUUCAAUUUGAUUUAGUAUAAAAUUUUGUUUUAUUCUAAUAUACUUUCACAAUUUUGAUAAUUUUACAGUUAUUUUAAUAUUGCAUAUACAUUAACAAGUUCAUAUUGAUUUUUAUGCUUUUAUCUUUCAAAUUGUAUUGCCAGAUUAAGUGUUUUGUCUUUGGAAGUGAUGUUUUUUCCCCCAAAACUUUAAAAUUUCAUGUAAUUUGUGUUGCUGUGCAGAUUUAUUUUUCAUUAUAGUGGAUUAUUUUAGUAUUUUUGGAGGCCAGAACUAGUGGUGAUGCUCUUUGUAGGCAUUUAUAUAUGUUAAAAGUGUUUAUUUUUCCUUGCUUUUUACAGAUCAAAUAUUGUCAAAGGUGUAAAAGAAAAAAAAAAUGCCAACAAGAACAUAUAUUCAGAAAUCCCUUCUGUAUUGUAAAUCUUCCUAAGGAAUUGCAUAAUAAUUAUAUAGAAAUAUCUUUCUAGGAUUUACGUGUUUUUUGUUUGUUUGUUUGUUUGUUUUUGUGACCUCAAGUAUUUCUCUUUUUUGAAUUUUAUGGAGGUACUAGAGAUUGAACCCUGGAGGACUUAACCACUGAGCAACAUAUACAAACCUUUUUGUUCCCCCCUCCCCCACUAAUUGGAGAUAAUUGGACUUCUUAAGUUUUGAUUUUGGUUUUAUACCUCAUAUUUAUAAAUUCUGAUUUCUUUUUUUAUUUUUAUUUUUUGGGUAUUUUACAACUAAAUUGUGUUCUCAGCUCCUGUCAUUAAAAAACAAAAGAAAACAAAAAAACAACUUUUUAAAUUUUUUUUGUCGUGAUGUCAUGAACUUGGGGUUGCCUCAAACUUAAGAAGCUCCUGGCUUAGUCUCCCACAUUGCUGGGAUUAUAGCUGUGCACAUUAACCCUUGAUCUUGAAAUAUAAAAUUCUUCAAAUAUAAAAUUUCUUCAAAUAUAAAAUUUCUGCUUGUAUCAACAUUUUUUCUCUGAUUUUUGUUCAGUUUUCUGUAUUCUGUUUUAGCUCAUUAAACUUAUUUUAAAUUUUUAUUUUCUAUACUUCAGGUAAUCCAUAACUCAGUUUUUUAAUGUUCAAUUCCUGCUGCUUUAGUUUGUUACAUUGGUUAAGCCUUGUUUUCAUUUUGUGUGUGUGUGUGUGUGUGGUGUAUUAUUUUUAAUUGGUUUGUCCAUUUGAAUAUCAGCCAGUAAUGGAUUUUAUAGUCAUUUUGGUAAAUAGUUUGGAUGUUAUUAAAAAAUAGACAAAGUGAUGCAUACUGUCAAUCCCAGCUAAUUUAGAAGCCAUACUAGUGUUUCAAGUUUGGGACAAGUCACAACAAUGUAGUGACAACAUGUUUAAAAAUAAACUUUAAAAGGGCUUGUGUCAUAACUCAGUGGUACAGUAUCUUUGGGCUUAAUCUCAAGAAUCAUAUAUAAUAAAAGUUAGAAGUAGACGUUUUUGUGAACUCGAAAUGCAAAUCUUAAUUAUAUGUCCACAGGAGAUUUGAUCAAGAUGUUCAAGCUAUAUCUCCACUGUUUAUUGCAUGCAUCAUUUACAAUAGUAAAGUUAUGGACUCAACCUAUAUGCGCAUUAAUGACUGAAUGAGAAAAAAUAUGGAAUUUUUCUUAUUGGUUGUAAAAAAUCUUGUCAUUUAUUGUGAAAUAAAGCAGAUCAAAAAAAAUCAGUUGCAGGAGCAUCUGAGUUUGGAAACAACUCAGAUGAGUAAAUUGAUGUUCCCAGGCACUGUGUUUGGUGUAGUGUUGUUCUACAUCUGCAGUAUUUUAUUUUAAUGGUCAUAAGAAGGUUGAGAGUUGUGUUGGACCACAUGAGUGUAGAGAGUGUAUUGUGCUGUAUUCCUAAUAAAUGCUAAUAGAAUGAACAAGUGUUUUCUAAGCACAAAACUGAUUAUUAUAAGAAAUAAUACAGGUUUUCAUUCACUUGGUGUGUGUGUGUGUGUGUGUGUGUAUAUAUAUAUAUAUAUAUAUAUAUUUUUUUUUUUUUUUUUUCAAAAAUACCAUGAUAUAUCUAGUAAUAUAUAAAGUUUAAUUUGUCAAUGAAAUAAAUCAGUACGUAACAAAAAUUUAAAAAAUCCAAAGCAAGUCAUUUACCUUGAUCAUCAUGUGUGGGGUGUCAUCUGUGUAAUACAGACAUAGGCUAUGCCAUGUUUUUAAUUGUCUCUCAAACUUGUUUUUAAUGUGAAUCUUCUCAAGACAUGUAUUUUUCCAAUUAAAAAUUUUGUCCAUAUAUAGUUUUAAAGAGUCCAUAUACCUCUGUUGAAUAUGGUUUAUUGUCAUCUAAAUAUCUAUUUUCUCCAGGACCCUUGUCAUGAAAGAUAGAAACCAGUUUUUAGAGCGUCUCCAAGAAAGUCACAUAUGUUUGCACAUAUUUUGCAUUUCUCUUUUUUUCACUGAGAGAAGAGAGUAGGUAGAUUUUUUUCGUAGUUGUACAGUGGUAUAUUACAAAGAAGGAAAGACUAUGUUUGACAAGUAACACAGUAUCCCUCCCUAGGGAUGGAAAUUAUAUUACACUCCUUAGUAAUGGACUCGUCUUGUUUACCAUUUUUGGGAAGCCAUCCAUGGACUGUGCUUGAACUAAAACAUUGUUGAAGCCAUUAGGCAGCAAAGUCUGGGGGUGGGGUGUGGUAUGGUGUAAAAUUUCUCUUGUUUCAACAGGGCCUUAGAGCCACCAAAGCAGUGGGCGAAAAUUUAAUGGGAUUCAAAUUAUACCCUAUUUUUUGGCAGUUAGAUCCACGUAAACCAAACCAAAAUAUAUGAAUUCAUAUUUCUGUUCUUUUUAAACAUUAAAAGGGUUAAAAUCUGCUUGCUUCAUGCAUGGCCUAAACUCACCUUUUGUUCAAAACUUGGUAGAAUCAGUGUGUACUGAGGCCCUGCCCUCUACUGAUUGGGUUACCCUGGUGAAAGCUUGCCUUUCAGGAUGUGGAUAUUUGUUGUGGAAGUCUAAUUGGAUGGAAUUUUGUUCUGAGCAGGCAGAGAUAAACAGAAUGCAUGGAGUAUAUAUCACUUUAGAACUGUUGACUGGGUAGGAUCAUUUGUGAUUUGGAGCAACAAUUAAAUUAUGAUUUACAAACUAAUACUCAGAUAAGUGUGUGUGCAAGAAGGGCACAAAGGUAAUUACCUACUAAGGCUGGGAAAAAAAUGGAUUUUAGCCAGAUCUGGCUACCUCACUCUCCUCAAAAGUCCUUGACUGCAUUACAUAUUUUGUGAUUUUUCAAUUACUCAUUAAAGGUAGAACAUGAGUCUUAUAUUUCAUUGGAUCAGAGUCUUCUAUUGUUUUAACCUCCUUUUCUAUCCAAUAGCAUAGUUGGCUCUGGCAAUCUUCCAAUACUUUGAAAAUAGCUUUUGCUUAUUUUCCUAGUUAAGUAGGAAGUCUUCAUUCUCAUGAAAAUGUUGUUCAGUUUGGUCUAGUAACUUCAUUUAUUUUUUGAACAAAUUGUAUGUGCUCAGCCAGUAGCCACAGCAAUGGAAGUAUUUACUGAUUGCUCAAGUUCAGGAAAAGCAGAUUUCUGAAGGCGUGCUCAUACUGAGAUAAUACAGACAAUAUAAACUACUCAACGAUGAGCAGAACUUCAAACUCUCAUUUGCUUUACUUCAUUUUACUAAUGAGCCAGUUAGUGUUUUAUAGUGAUAGUGUAUAUAUUGUGGGAGUUCCUAAACAUUUUGAAACAGCUACUGUUGUAGAUAUACCACCAAAAGCAUCAUUUCAUUUGUUCCAUACUUUACAAAAGACAAUUCAAAUGCAUCAAAAAUCUUCAUUGGACAAUCAGAGCACAUUCUAUAGAAGCUGCCAGAUCCUUUGGCAUCAGUUAAUGAUAAUAUUGAAAAGCUUAUUGCUGUUUGUCACCAAAUAUCUUUAUUUGAUUUUGUAGAAGCCUCACACAUUUUACAUCAUCAGAAUGCUUCUAGUUUACGUUAAAAAAAAUCUGUAGGGAAGAAGCUUAUCAAGUUGUUUGCCAGUAUUCAUAAUGUGUGAUACAUAUUCUGUCUUCACCAACAGGGGACAAUCCCCAUUCUUUAUUGCCAAAUCAGCUAUGUCAAAUGUAUGUAACUCACAGUUUGGCAAAAAUUAUUAUGCUCAUAUUAUUGUGAAUACUUGUUCUUAAUUUAUCUUUGCCUCUGCCUGUGAAAAAUAGACUAUUCAACAUAUUAUUUCUCAUUGCCUAUGGGCUUUUGCAAUAUUACACUGUCAUUCACAGAUUAAAACUGAUAAUGCUUUAGCUUAUACUAGUUCUUUCAAGUUUUGCCACCAAUUUCAUGUUAAUUAUAUAACAGGCAUUCCUUAUAAUCCUCUAGAUCCCGCCAUUGUAGAGUGGGCUCAUUUAUUUAUUAACCUACAAUUACACAAAAAGGGGGGGGGAUAAGGCCCCAAUAAAUAACCUUAAUCAUGAUUUUUUUGGUUCUAAAUUUUUAAAUUUGUGAUUCUGAAGGCCACAGUGCUGCUGAAACAAGUCUUCCACUGUAACAGGUCUGUUGGUCCUCGUUUGGUGCAAAGUUUUACAAACAGAACAGUUCAAAGACCAGAUUCAGUGAUAAUGGGGGGUAGAGAUCAUGGUUGUAUUUUCCCAGAAGAUUCAUUUUGUCCUAUUUGUGUACUGAAACGUGCCAUCAAGCAUGGACCUAGAGCCAACAUUCAAAUGACUAAAAUUUAAACCAGAGAUGUCAAUCCUCACCCCAGCAGGAAUAGGAAGCUUAUAUGGAGGAAAAGGAUGAGCAUGGAUGGCCCUGCCAUCACUCAAACUGCCAGUGUAUAAGCAAUUGAAGAAGCUUAUCGAAAAGACUGAGCAGAUGGUUCAACAAAAAGUAGAUAUUAAAUCUCCAACCACAAUGUUUGUGGUCAUGAUAACUCUAUUGAACUGUGAAGGUGUGUGGGGUCCGUGUAGAAAUUCAUUGGACCUAUUUUGCAUAUCCACUUAUAGUACACAUGGUGGUGUGGAUUGAAGAAUCCAUCCCAAUAUUUACUAAUGAUCCUGAUAUGACGGGAUGUUUUACAGAUAUUCACAUUACACCCAUCCAUGUAACUGGAUUUCAUUAUAUUGGCUACAAUGAGCAAUUACCUAUAUGCUGGUUCCAUGAUAAACAUGCUGACUGUUUAAAAGUAUCUUUUGAGGGAAAGAGAGUAUAUGGGGGACCUAGACCAGCCAAUCAUGCUGGCCCAUGGGACUUAAGAUUAUGUGUCAGGACAGUUAUUAAAAUUGUACAUUCUCAUAACAAGCCAGUCAUUUCCAUGGAACAUUUACCAAUACCUUACUGCUCCAAUUGUUCUGCAAUAGAAUUUUGUACCUUUCUUAAAUGGGUGAAAUGUGCAAAUGUCAUGCCAGUACAACAUAAAGUUUCUAGAAAUAGUGGUUAUAUUUUGGAUUGGUCUCCAAGAAUUGGUAAAGGACAUCCCUGUAAGGAUGCCAUGACUCCUGGAAGUUUUAUUAGUAAUGUUCUAACUUCCAGUGGAGUUGGUAUUUUAAAAGAUCUCUGGUGUUUAAUUGCAGCCUGAGAUUUUCUACAUUAUAUAAAUGCCCCUCUGCCUGACUUUGUAGGCUACAACUGCAAAUAGGUUUUCUGCUAUGGCCGCUGAGCCUGUAUUCAAUCUCCUUAUGCUUUAAAUCUCGAAAUAUGUUGAAACAUUAUGCAUGGUAUAUUAUUGGAAUGAUGUGUUUGCUACUAGCUCUUUUUUGUAUCAUGAUAAUAGGUUGUUGUGCCCUCAGAACAAGUAUAUAGGAACCUGAGAUAACUGCCCAUUGUUUGCAUUUAAAAAAUAUAUAAGGGGGAUACGUAGAAAACCACCUGUGAGCUGUGUGGGAACUAAAACAAUGUUGAAGCCAUUAGGCAGGAAAGUCUGGUGUCUGGAAAUCCCAGCAGAAAUCCUGCUGGUUUGAGAAUGUGUGGCUUAUGUGGCUUCUUACCUAGCUCCAUUACAGUUCAGAACAGCAUCAGUGAUGGGCAUGACCCAUUAAGAGCGAAACAAACUGUCUACCCUCAGCCAUAACCUAUUAUUUUGUGAAGAAGAAAGUACAGAGACAAGAAUCCUCCCACACUGAAAUCUUAUACCUAUGGAUUCCCUUUGAUCUAUACUGCUAUAACUACAGCAAGUGCAGGCUCUAUCUUUGUUGGAUGCCACCGCCUUCUGAUUGGCUUAACAUGUCAUUGCACCAACUUUGUAAAACAUUUCUUCUCUUUUGUGUGUAUUUCAUGGUUUUAGUUUCAUAGGUUUUAUUUUGCAGCCCACCCAUCCUUCCAACAGAAAUGCCCAAGUGGGAUGUUUGCAAGAACAUUUACUCUAAUAUGGUUUUAGUAGUUCUCACAAUGUAAUUUUGUCUAUACAUUUUUACUCUUAGUUUAUGUAUUUUUGGAGUAAUGAUGGCAUUGCAUUUAUUAAACUGUCCUCCUGCUGAUGUCCUGACAGUGCUAUAAUUUCAUAUGGUACAUUUGCAAAAUAUAUUCACCUCAGUCUAUUAAGUAAUACCAAUUUUAUUUAUAUUUAUUUCAGCCAUGACUUCUCAUCAUACUUAAGAAUUUUCAUCAGAACAGGGCAUAACAUAUUUAUUACAAAAAGUAAUAAAGGGAAGAUAUGGGAAGUGCGACCUUGACUAUUUACCACCAAGAAAAUUAGGGGAAAUUUUAAGUGAGAGUGAAUUUCAGAAAUCAUAUUAUAAGGAACAAAACCAAUUAUCAGUGACUGUUCAUAAUAAAAAUUUUACUGCUAACAGAUAUCAAGAACAAUUAAUAUCUCAGAAAAUACUUCAAUUUAUGCUUGUUACUUUUGAAGAACUCUGUAUGUUGUUAAGAAUAAGUCCACAGCAAUUUUGGAAGCACAUAUUUUCUCUGAAAGGAAAUAUGAAAAAUCUGAGAAGAGAUCUAGUCCCUGUCAAGCAUCAGAGCAUCCAUGCCCAAGAGAAGCCCUGUAAUUGUAAAGAAAGUCUCAAGUUUAACAAUUUUUCAACCGUUUCUCAAUCCCUGAGAUGUCAUAGCAGUGACAAAUUUUGAAAAUGUAAAGAAUGUGGCCAAGCUUUUAAUCAAAGCUCAGUUGUUCUAUCCCAGAAAAUUGACGUUAAUGAGAGCUCUGAGAAAUGUAAAGAAAGUUCCAAAGCCUUACAACAAAAUUCAACCCUUACACAAAACCAAAGGUAUCAUUCUGGAGAGAAGACUUACAAAUGUUAAGUAUGUGGCAAAGCUUUUAAUCCAAGAUCUCUUUUUAUUCAACACCAGAAAAUUCGUACUGGAGAGAAACCAUACAGAUGUAAAGAAAUUGAAAGAUUACUGCUAACUGAACAUCACAGAAUACAUACUGGAGGGAAGCCCUACAAAUGUAAAGAAUGUAACAAUGCUUUUAAUCGAAAAUCAGACCUUACUAAACACCAGAAAAUUCAUACUGAAAAGAAGCCCUACAAAUGUAAAGAAUGUAGCAAAGGUUUUAAUUGAAAAUCAGACCUUAAUAAACACCAGAAAGUUCAUACUGGAGAGAAGCCCUACAAAUGUAAAGAAUGUGGCAAAGGUUUUAUUCAAAGAUCAAUACUUACUUAUCACCUGAGAGUUCAUACUGGAGAGAAGCCCUACAAAUGUGAACAGUGCGGCAAAACAUUUAAUCUAAAACAUAAUCUUGUUCAACACCAGAUAAUCCAUACUGGAGAGAAACCAUAUGAAUGUAAAGAAUGUGGCAAAGGUUUUAAUUAUAGAUCAGUGCUUGUUGAACACUAUAGAAUUCAUACUGGAGAGAAUCCCUACAAAUGUAAAGAAUGUGGCAAAGCUUUUAGCCAUCAUGCUGGCUUUAUCAAACACCUGAGAAGUCAUAGUGGAAAGAAGCCCUACAAAUGUGAACAAUGUGGCAAAUGUUUUAGUCAGAAAUCAAAUCUGGUCCAACACCAGAGAAUUCAUAAUGGCGAGAAACCCUACAAAUGUGAAGAAUGUGCCAAAGUUUUUAGUCAAAGAUCACUACUUAACAAUCACCAUAGAAUUCAUACUGCAGAAAAUCCCUACAAAUGUAAAGACUGUGGCAAGGCUUUUAGGCAAUAUUCAUGCAUUUUCCAACACCAGAAAAUUCAUACUGGAGAGAAGCCCUACAAAUGUAAAGAAUGUGGCAAAGCUUUUAAGCAAAAUUCAGCAUUAACUAAGCACCAGAGAAUCCACACUGGAGAGAAGCCCUACAAAUGUAAAGAAUGUGGCAAGGCUUUUGCCCAAAGAUCAGCACUUACUGGACACCUCAGGGUUCAUACUGCAGAGCAGUCCUAAAAUGUACAGAAUGUGGCAAAGCUUUUAAGCAUCUUUCAUCAAUUACUAUUCACCAGAGAAUCCACACUGGAGAGAAGCUCUACAAAUGUAAAGAAUGUGGCAAAGCUUUUACCCAAAGAUCAGCACUUACUGGACACCACAGAGUUCAUACUGCAGAGAAGCCCUAGAAAUGUACAGAAUGUGGCAAAGCUUUUAGGCAUCACGCAAGCAUUUUCAAACACCAGAGAAUGCAUACUGGAGAGACGCCCUACAAAUGUGAACAAUGUGGCAAAACAUUUCAUGAGAAAUCAAACCUUGUUCGACACCAGAAAAUUCAUACUGGAGAGAAGCCAUACAAAUGUAAAGAAUGUGGCAAAUCUUUCAGUCAAAGAUUAGUGCUUGUGGAACAUCAUAGAAUUCAUACUGGAGAGAAUCCCUACAAAUGUAAAGAAUGUGGUAAAGCUUUUAGGCAUUGUUCAAGCUUUAUCAUACACCAGAGAAUUCAUACUGGAGAGAAGCCGCACAAGUGGCAACUUUUUAAAUGAAAGGUUCUUGCUUACUGACCAUAGGAGAGUUUAUACUGGACAGAAGAUCUAUGAAUUAAAACAAUUUGGAUGAACUUUUAAUAAAAUAUUAGACUUUCAAUAUCUCUAAUGAACAUAGAUGCAAAAAUUUUCAAUAAAAUUCUUUGAAAUCGAAUAUAAAAACAUCAAAAAGAUUGUUCACCAUGAUCAAGUGGGAUUCAUUCCAGGGAUGCAAGGUUGGUUCAACAUACGGGAAUCAAUAAGUGUAAUUCAUCACAUCAAUAGACUUAAAGAUAAGAAUCAUAUGAACAUCUUUAUAGAUGCAGAAAAAUAUUUGACAAAAUACAACACCCCUUUAGGUUCAAACACAUUUGUAAAGGCUAUCUACGCUAAGCCUCAGGCCAACGUCAUUCUAACAGAGAAUAUUUGAACGCAUUCCCUCUAAAAUCUGGAAGAAGACAGGGUUGCCCUCUCUCACCACUUCUAUUCAACAUAGUUCUUGAAACACUGACCAGAGCAAUUAGACAGACAAAAGAAAUUAAAGGAAUAACUAAAGGAAAAGAACUUAAACCAGCACUAUUUGCUGAUGACAUGAUUAUAUACCUUGAAGACCCCAAAAACUCCACCAGAAAACUUCUAGAACUAGUAAGUGGAUUCAGAAAAGUAUCAGGAUAUAAAAUCAACACCUAUAAAUCAAAGGCAUUCCUGUAUAUCAGAGACAAAUCCUUUGAGAAGGACAAGAGGGAAACUACCCCAUUCACAAUAGCCUCAAAUAAAAUAAGAUACUUGGGAAUAAGGAAAAAAAAAAGAGGUGAAAGAUCUAUACAAUGAAAACUACAGAACCCUAAACAGAGAAAUAGAAGAAGACCUUAGAUGGAAAGAUCUUCCUUGCUCAUGGAUAGGCAGAAUUAAUGUUAUCAAAAUGACCAUUCUAACAAAAGCACUAUACAGGUUCAAUACAAUUCUGAUCAAAAUCCCAAUGGCAUUCCUCAUAGAACUAGAAAACACAAUCCUGAAAUUCAGAAUAAGCAGGUGGUAUCGCUAUACCAGACCUUAAAUUAAACUACAGAGCAAUAGUUACAAAAAUAGCUUAGUACUGGCUCCAAAACAGGCAGGUAGACCAAUGGUACAGAAUAGAGGACACAGACUAACCCACAAAAUUACAAUUAUCUUAUAUUAGACAAAGGUGCCAAAAAUGCACUGUACAAAAGAUAGCAUCUUGAACAAAUGGUGCUGUGAAAACUUGAAAUCCAUAUGCAACAAAAUGAAAUUGAAUCCCUGUCUCUCAUUAUGCACAAAACUUAACUUAUAAUGGAACCAAGGACCUAGGAAUUAAACCAGAGAGUCUGCAUCUAAUAGAAGAAAAAGUAGAUCCUAAUCUUCAUCACGUGGGAUUAGGCCCUAUCUUUAUGAGACUCCUAUAGCAAAAGAAUGAAAAUUAAGAAUCAAUAAAUGGGAUGGAUUCAAACUAAAAAAUGUUUUUCUCAGCAAUAGAAACAAUCUGUGAGGUGAACAGAGAGCCUACAUUCUGGGAAAAAAAUUUUUACCCCUCACACAUCAAAUAGAGCAUUAAUCUCUAGGGUAUAAUAAAGAAUUCAGGAAGAUAAGCAACAAAAACCCAUCGAUAAAUUGGCCAAGGACCUGAACAGACACUUCUCAGAAGAGGAUAUGCAAUCAAUCAACAAAUAUAUGAAAAGAUGCUAAUUAUCUCUAGCAAUCAGAGAAAUACAAAUCAAACUAAAAAAAAAAAAAAAAAGUGAAACGUCAUCUCACCUCAGUCAGAAUCGCACCUAUCAUGAAGACAACAAAAAGUGUUGGUGAGGAUUAGGGAAAAAGGUACACUCAUACACUGCUGGUGGGACUGCAAAUUGAUGCAGCCAAUUUGGAAAGCAGUAUGGAGAUUCUUUGGAAAUCUGGGAAUGGAACCACCAUUUGAUCCAGCUAUUCCUCUUCUUGGACUAUACCCAAAUGACUUAAAAAAUUGCAUACUACAGGGACACAGCCACUUCAAUGUUUAUAGCAGCAGAAUUCACAAUAGCUAAAAUGUGGAGCCAACCUAGAUGUCCUUCAGUGGAUGAAUGGUUAAAAAAAAUGUGGCAUUUAUUUACAAUGGAAUAUUACUCAGCAUUAAAAAAGAAUAAAAUCUUGGCAUUUGCAGGUAAAUGGAUGGCAGUGGAGAAGAUAAUGCUAAGUGAAGUCAGGCAGUCCCCUCCCCAGGAAAAACAUAUGCUGAAUGUUUUCUCUGAUAUAAGGGGGGUGGCUCAUAGUGGAGUAGUGAGGGAGAACAUGGGAGGAUUAGAUUAAUUCUAGAUAGGGAAGAGGGGUGGAAGGGAUUAGCAAGGAUGGUGGAAUGUGAUUGUCAUCAUUAUACAAAGUACAUGUAUGAAGACGUGAAUUGGGUAUCAACAUACCUUUUAUACAAAUGGAGAUAUGAAAAAUUUUGGUAUAUAUAUGUGUAUUAAAAUUGUAAUGCAAGUUAAAAGUACAUGUAUAUUGGCAUAAAUUGGCGAGAACAUAUGUUGUAUAGAGAUAUGAAAAAUUGUGCUAUAAAUGUCAUAAGGAGUAUAAUGCAAAAAAAAAAAAAAUCAGUUUUUAUUAAUCUCUGGAGAAUUCAUACUGGAGAAAAGCCCUUCAAGUGUAAAGAACAUGGCAAAGCUUUUAGAAGUUGUUCAAACAUUAUCAAACUCCUGAAACUUCAUACUGCAGAGAAGCACUACACAUGUAGCAAAAAUUGAAAGAUCACUUAUUAAACAUCAAAGAAUUUGUAGGGGAGAUAAGCUCUAUAAAUGAGAAUAUUGUUCAAAUACAUUUUGGAUGGUUCAACCAUAUACCACAUCAGAGGAAUCAGCAGAGAAAUUUUACCUUUACUAAUUAAAAAAUAAAUAAAAAUAAUAAAGACAAAAAUCUUUAACAGUUGUUCAUAUCUUACUCAGCCCCUGAGAAUUCAUACUGGUGAGAGCUGGUACAAGUGGAAAGAAUGAAACAAAUUUUUCUCCAUUUCCAAAACUUUACUAAACACGAGGGACUUCAUAGUGCAUAGAAACUCUAAAAAAAAUUUUAAAAAAUAUCCAACCUCAUAUUUAAAUUGAAACUUUCUUCAUCUAAAACCUCAUUCUUUAUCAAAUUUGGAAGACAUUUUUUUUCCAAAAUAUAUGCCUAUAUAUAGAUAACAGCAAAAUAGUCACCAUAAAUACUAAAACCUUGAAAAAUGUUAAAAGUAAAGUCUUAUCAAGUCCUUAUAUUUUGAUUUCCUUAAGAAUUCGUAAGAGAAAGCAUUUAAGCAUAGAAAAUGGGAAAUUGUAUUUAACUUUUGCUGAAAAUUUAUAAAUAGCAUUAGCUAAUGUGGUAGAAAUAAUGCAGAUAUUUCAUUUUUGAUUGAGAAUAAAUUAAUUAUAAAUUAAAGAUGAUUAAGUGUCUUCACUUCUGGAAAUUGGAGUAAACCUAUUUUUUUAUGCUCUAUUACAUCAGAGGAAGACCUAUGCUUAUAAUUUUUAACCUGUAUUUUUUUUUUUUUUGAGAUUUUAUAAUGUUAAUUUUUUUUUUCUUUUUUGUAAUGUGGAGAGAACUCAGGGUAGCUUAGCCAUUAAGUGAUGUCCCCAGUCUUUAAUUUUUUUUUUUUUUUUGGAGACACAUUUCCUUAUGGCCUUGGUAAGUUGCUGAGGCUGCUCUUGAAACCUCGACUAUCUUUCCUGAAGCCUCCUUGAUCACUGCGUAAUAGGCCUCUGCCAUCAUACCCUGCUAAUUAUAAAUUUUUAGUAUAUCCAUGUUAUUGUGGAAUUUGUUACUAAAUAAAAGUGAAUGUUAGCUUGCUAAUCCCUGUCAUGUAUUGAAUCAUGUUACUAUCAAGGCAUUCCAUUUUACCAAAGAUUCUAUAUAACAGUAAAGCAUACUAAAUAGUGAUAUAACAUCUCUACUAAUUAUUCUCGAAAACUUAAACUCACUUAUUUGGGGAAUACAAUUUGUAUAAGUCAGAUUGUUAUGCAUUUCUACUCCUUGUAAUUAUGGAAAAAUUAAGGAUUUAGAGGCCACUGCAUGUCUGGAGAGUCACAAUUCUCCUGGGAUUAUGAAAACCUCAGAAACUAGGAGUCACAAAUUCGUAUUCUGUGGAAAGGAGGGUCACUGAUGCUUUCACUGGUAUCCAUGUACUCUGUAGUGCACUAGCCCAUUCUGGCAAUAGGAAUGUCUGGUAACCAAAAAUACUGAAUAAAGCGUUCAGUUUUUCAUGAAGUCUAUAAGAAUAAACUCAGAAGAUUGACUAGAUUGACUUUAGAAUGAGAGCCCAAUAUGGUACUACCUGUUUGGUCUUAGGCACAAGGGAAGGAACUCUAAUCAAUAACAUGUAAAAUAAUGGUUGUAACACAAGAGUCUCAUAUGCAUAGAGUAAUUGAAACUCCUACGUAAUUCAUUUCACUAGAUAUUUUUUGAUAUUUAGAUAACUUUUAUUCUACUUAUAAUUUGUAUUGCUUAUUUUGUUUUUUAGAGUAUAAGAUACAUGGCAUGACAUGAGCUCACAAAGCUAUACAAUUUAAUCCUAAUAGGCCUGGAUUAUUAUUGUUGUUACUUUCAGGUCUUAGAGGCAAAGGAAAACAUGCUACCACACAAAAACAAAAUUCUUAUUCAAAUAAUCCACUAGACUAUGUAUGAGUCUUGUUCAAAAAGUAAAAACACUAAAAUUUAUCCUAUAUUUUCUCCAUGUGUUAAUAAAACCCUCAGGAAUAUUAAUUAAAUUUAAAUUGAUUGAGAAUUAAAAAUAAUGCAAAAAAUAUUGAGAACCUUUGAAACAGAAAUAGUGUUUGUGGUUCUUGAUUAUUAUUUUCAGCUACAUAAUUGUCACAGCUAUGCUUCUCUACCUUUUUUGUUAAUCUCUACUCCUUGUCAUCCUGGACAGGAAACUUUAAAAAAUAAUUUACAUGUAAGAAGCCAAGCAUUAAAGAAGCCUAUCCCAAGAAACCAAAGGCUAAAUGUUGUCUGUGAUAAGUGGAUGUUGAUCUGUAUUGAGGGUUGGCUGGUGAGAAUGAGAGAACUUUGGGUAAAGGGGAAGGAGAAAUGGAGAGGAGUAUGGAGACAGGAACGAUGGUGGAAUGAGAUGAUCAUCAUUACCCUAGGUAUAUGUAUGGCUUCAUAUUUGGUUCGACUCUACAUUCUGUAACAAAGAAAUGAAAAUUUGUGUACAAUGAAUUGAAACAGAUUUUGCUACCAUGUGUAACUAAUUAGAACAAAUAAAGAAUCAAAACAGAUAUAUUCUAAAUAUGAUGAGUGUGUGAUUUCAGAGAGAGUUAGUAUAACUUCCAGAAACCAUAAUAAGAUGUUUAGUUUGAAGGAACAUCUGCAUUAUAUUGCCUUGAUUUAUUAGAAGCAUUUUCCCAGGAGUGAAGAAAAAGCAAAAAACAUCUUUAUCAUUAUCAGUUUAAAAAGUAUCCCAUUCUAUUUAGUUAAUGACCACCUUAAUUUAAAAAAAAUAAAAAAAAACAUAGUUUCCAAGAAAAAAUAAAAAUAGAGAAAAGAAAACAUGAAAGAUUUCCGUAGUCCAUGUGCCUGCCAUGACCUUUGCACAUCCUUGAUGAAACAUCUUAAUAAUGCUGUGAAGUGUACUUGAGGGGAUCACUAGAUUACACAGGUUUUUAGAAUAGAGUUCUCUGAAUUUUAUCUUUUAUUUAAGUAUCCUUAUUGGGAAGAUUUCAAAGUCAUGGCCAUCGAGAGGAUGAUGUGGCUGGCACUUCCCAGUUAGGGCUCUGAAAAUCUACCUUGAUAGUUAGCAGCUAGUUGACUUCAGGUGUUGAUGUUUCCCUGAUUUGUAAGUGUAUUUUCUUCUCUUGUAUGCCUAUCAAUUUCACGUUUUUUUUUUCUUGAUUCCAUAUUAUCACUAAAUUAAAUUGUAUCUCAUGUUAAGGUAGUGUCUUUAAGUUUCUCUUGUAUCUGAUCUUCCAAAUUGAGCAUGUCCACAUGUAUGUAAUUACAUACACAUGCUUGUAUUAUACAAUUAAAGCAGUAUUUUUAGCAUGUUUGUCACCUCAAAUAUUUUUUAUUUGUAUGAGGAGAAAAUUGAGAAUGCUUUCUUUCCUUUGAAUGUGUAAUACAUUAUCAAUAGCUAUAGACACACUACUAUAUAUUUGCCCCUCUCUCACCUCUGGUUUCAUGUCUUUCCAUAUGAUUUUUUUCUCCUUUCCAUGUUACCAACAUGAUUCCAUACACUAUGAUAUGAUAUGUAGCAAAGUUUGUAGUCACAUCAGGCUGAUGGCACCCAUUGAUUUUGGACUUUCAGCCUCCAAAAUUCUGAGUAAAUUACUUUUUUUUUUUUCAUUAUAAAUUAUGCACUCUUGGGUAUUUCUUAUAGCAAUAGAAAAUGGAUAUUUACAGUGUCAUUCAACAUCAUAAGAAUUGUUUUAUACUUAUUUGUAAGAUUAGACAGUAUAUUUACCUGCCUAGCUGUAUAUAGGUUAAGAUACUCUAUUUAAUUAUUUUAUUUAAGCUUGAUGGCUCUAUCAGCAUUUCAAAAGGAGUUUUUUUUUUUUUUUUUACUUACCCUAAACUUCUCAAUGUAGAAAUAUGAAGCAAAUUUUUCCAGGUAUAAAAUUAUUGGUUGAUAGAUUUUGUUUAAAAAGUUUAAUCAUGUCUCUUUUGAAAUUUAAGGAAUACUCUUUCAUGUUUGGGCCUAUUUUAUAUAUAAAAAAAAAGUUCCAUACUUCUAAAAUAUGAUGAUACAGGACACACAUUCCUAUUUCAAAAUGAAGAAAUAAAGAAGUGAAAGAAAGGAGCCAGUCUCAAGUAAGAAAGAAAUUCAGAGUGGUAGAGAUUAAAUCCCAAAUCCCCAUUACCACCGUAGAGUGUAUAUUCUGGUGAGGUGUACUCUCCCAAGGCCUUGGAGAACUCAAGUCCUGGAACUUUGCUAGUUUCAGUGGCUGAAAUUGAGGGCCUUAUGCUAAUAUCAGUGAUUUUCAAACAUGGUGCAGAAAAUUGAUACCCAGGCAAUGUUUUUCUGGUAACUUCACUACAGCCUCUUUAGGAAUUUUCCCAUGUCGGGUUCCUGAAGGAGUUCAGACACUGGUACAAGUGUUUGUUCUUUACUCCCAUGCUUUCCUUUGUAAUUCAAACAGAAGCUGCCAUGCCUGUAACUCUUGAAUUCUGUGCACCUCCAAACCCAACUCUACCUGAGCAGCAUGAUCCAACACUUGCACAUGAUGCAUCUGGAUCUACUUCAACCCUAGUUUCAGCUAUAUCAGUGAGCAGAAAAAUCCUUCCAGCGAUGACUCCAAGUGAAGGGGUUUAUGGAAGGUCCCUCUGGAACUUACCAUGAAAAGAAUUCUUCCCUGAUACAUUUCUGGUCAUAUAAUGGGGUAGGAUGCAACAAAAACUUUCUGAAACUUCUGAAGGCCUGUGUUUCAUUGUCUUUUCAAAUUGCAUGUUUCCUUCCAUCUACUUUGAUUUCUACAUUCUCAUACAAAAGUCAACUUUAUAAAUGUAAACUUUCAUUACAGAAACAUCCUUAUACUUAGAGAUAUAUUUAAAUUUCCCUCCUACUCAUUGUUUAUCUUUUCUUUAUUAUUAUUUCUAUUUAUUUAUUUUUGGUACCAGGGAUUUAACUCAGGGGCACUUGACCACUAAUACACAUCCCCAGCCUUAUUAUUUUAUUUUUGUAUUUUCUAUUUUAUUCAUAGACAGGGUCUCACUGAGUUGCUUAGUGCCUUGCCAGCUGCUGAGACCACCAUGCCUGGCUAUUUAAUAUUUUUUUUCAUCCACAUUAUGAAAAGCUAAACUGUUUUAUUAUUUUUGUCCAUAAGUCAUUAGUUAAUCUCUUUAAUAAAUGUUUUACCAUAACACCUAUAAUUUUUUUUAUAUAAUUAGUAUGUGAAAUUAUAUAUACCUUAAGAAAUUUUGAUUUAUCAACUCUAUGGUAAAAACCUAUAAAAUUGGCAAUAUUUAAAGUAUUUGACUUAUACCAACAAUUGAAUACAUAUUAUAUGAAUCAGAGAAAUAUAUGCUUUCUUAGGUCAAUCUUUUUUUUUUUUUAAAUAUGAAAGAGAACAUGUAUGCUGGGGAAAUCACAUUCAGCAAGGGCACAAGCACAACUGAUAUGGUAGGAAAACUCAGGAUUAUUUCAUCAGAAGACCCAGAUGAUCUCUGAAAUUCUGGGUCCCAAGCUGAGGUUGCAGAGGGCUUUUAUAGAAAAAAAAAUUGACAUCCUUUCUUAACCAUUACAACAUUGGUGGGUUUGAAUUCAUGACCAAAAACUAUGAGUGCAAGUUCUUGCAAUAAACAGUUUACAGCAGCAGAACAAAGGCAGAGAAAAAUCUGCAAGUGAUAACUGGAAGUGGUCAUUACCACAUGGAGUAACUUCUCAAGAUAUCUGUAAGCUUACAUUUCUAGAAGCCAUAUUUCAAGCAAAGCCAUGCUUAAAAAGUUAUAGUUCAAACAGCAGUGAAGUGACAUAUUAACCUAUACUCACACUAGCAAUUAAGUGACACAGCUACAAUCCUACAAAGAUCAGAAAUUUAUAAGGUGCCAUUUCAUUCUGUAUUGUAAUAAUAAAAUAAAAUAUAUUUUUAUAAAAUUUUUAAAAAGUCAAUAUUAUGUGAUUUUAUCCUCAUUUUUAACAAUUAAAACUCAGUAUUUUAACUCAGAAAUAACUUAUAUAAGUUUCAAUUACUUGUUGUAACACAAGGGUAAGUUAAUUAUGUAACUUGUAAACAUUUAUAUUCACCUAAUUUAAUUCUUACAAUGUACCUAGAUUACUUAAAAACUAUGACCUUGUUUUAGUUAGAUUUUUCACUACUAUGACUAAAGAACCCAUCCAGUCCAAUCAUGGAAGAGGCAAGUUUAUUUCAGGGUUCAUGGUUUCUGAAGUCUUAGUCCAUAGAAGGCUGGCUCCAUUCCAUGGGGCUUGAGGUGAGGCUAAACAUCAUGGUGGGAGAGUGUGGUAGAGCAAAGCAGCUUACAUCAUGAUGAUCAAAAAGCAGAUAGAAAAAUGUAUAUACCCAAAGCCAUUCCCCAAUUUCUACCUCCUCCAGUUGUACCAUACCACUUCAGGUACCACUCAGUUAAUCCCUAUCAGAGGAUUAAAUCACUGGGCUAAGAUUCUUAAAACCAAAUCAUUUCAUUUCUGAACCUUCUUGUAUUGUCUCACAUGUGAGCUUUUGGGGGACACAUCACAUCCAAACCAAAGCAUUCCACUCCUGGCCCCCAAGAGCUCAAAACCAUGUCAUAAUGCAAAAUACAUUUUAUCCCUUUCCACAAGUCUCCACAAUCUCAACAGUUCCAUGAUUCUCAGAGUUCAAAUCCAAAGUCUUCUCUGAGGCUCAAGAAAAUCUUGCAUUGAGAGCUCCUACAAAUGUAAUAGCAAUCUACAAGUAUCUAAUAUAUAAUGGUAUAAACAUUUUCAUUCACAAAAUUAGGGGCCUAGAAAGAAGGGAUAAGACUAAAGCAAGACCAAAAUCCAGAAGGGCAAGCAAGUCCUAUAACUCCACAUCCAGAACCUUGGGCUCAUGACUUGUUAAUGUUCUCUUCAAAGGGCAUAUGCACCUCCAACCCUCUGGCCUUGUUAGUUGCAGCCCAAGUGGCCUUUUUGUUGGCUUGUCUCUGCUCAAUUCGUGUAGCUUUCCUAGAACAAUGUCUCACAUUCCUGACAUUUCUUAAUCUCCUGGUUCUAGACUGCAACUUUACCUUCCUCUUUAUGUCUUUAAACUUUGACCUCUCAAGGGGAAGCCCACUGUGACUCUACCCUGCUGCACUUUGGCCUUCUUGGCCUUCUUUUAAAAUCUUGGUUGAAACAUCCAUGAUCCCUAACUCCAGCAUUCUGCAUAUCUGCAGAACAAGCACCUUGUGGUUGAGGCCAAGGUUUGCCACCAUUUUGAGCAUUAGCAAAGGCUUCAGAGUCCCUGGCUGCAGCAGCCUCUGAGGAUCUGGGAGGCUGAGCAUAUUGAAAAAACUUCCUAGGCCUAGUUUUACACAGGGCUUUCUAAUUCAAUUUUUCCAAAUGUUUGCUCUGCUUUCUGCUCAGAUUAUCACAAUAAAUUUGGCUAAAGCAAUGUCCAUGCCACCUCCUGAUUGCUAUGUUGCCUAGACAUUUCUUGCACCAGAAUAAGAAGUUCAUUGCUUCUAAAAUAAGCCUCAAUAAGUCUCUGGACAUGGGCAAAAAAAAAAAAAAAACUUCUCACAAGGAGCAUAACACAAAUGGCCUCUACUCCAAAUUCUACUACAGCCCUCCUUUCCUGAACCCUCUUGAGCCCUGUCUUCACUGACUGUGAUCUUAUUGGCAUUCUGGUCUUAUGAGCUCCCACCAGAAUUUGCCUUGAAGCUCCACUUAAGCAUUUCCAACAUGCAUUGCUAAGCUUCUCAAAAUUCCUCCCACCAAUUCCAGGAGCUCAAAAAUCUUCUGAACCACAUAGUCAGGUUAAGCACAGCAAUGACCCCAUUUCUCGGUGCCAAUUUCUGUUUUAGUCAGCUUUUCCCCUACUGUGACUAAAAGGCCCCACCAGAACAAUUGUAGAGGAGGAACAUUUAUUUGAGAGCUCAUAGUUUAAGAGGUCUUAGUCCAUAAAAGGCCAGCUUUAUUCCACAGGGCUUGAGGUGAGGCUGAACAUUAUGGCAGAAGAGUAUGGCAGAGGGAAUCAGCCUACAUCAUGGUGAUCAGGAAGUAGGCAGAUCCCAUUAGCCAGAUAAGAUAUAUACCUAAAGUCAUGCCCUAAUUCCCACCUCCUCCAGCCACACCAUACUACUUCAGUUACCAUUCGGUUAAUCCCUAUCAGAGAAUUAAAUCACUAAUCCUUAACCCAAGAUUAAAGCACUGGGUUAAGACUCUUACAAUCCAAUCAUUUUGCUCCUGAACCUUCUUUCAUUGUUUCACAUAUGAGCUACUGUGGGACUCAUCACAUCCAAAUCACCAUAACAGGCCUUAAAAUAAGAAAGUCAUCAUUUCAAGUUACUUCCUUAUUAAGUAUUUUCAUAGCAUGUCAGUGUUAAGACUUUGUCUUUGUAGACCAUUUUAAUAAUGCUAUCAUAAUAUGCCAAACAUAUAUUACAACACAUUGCUUUUAGUGGUGUUAUAGAGUGCUUACAUGAUAAGUUGUUAUAAAUGCUUCAUGUACCUUAAUUCUCAAAGAAAUCCCAUAGGAUGGGUGCAACAUUAUCCACAUUUCAAAGAAGUUUAAACUCUUACCCAGGCUCACAUUGAGGCAAGUGAUAGAUUCAAAAUUCCAACAUAGUCUGUCUGGAAGUUCAGUGUUUUUCAAGAGAUCAUUUUUAAAUGAAUUUGCCUUUUAUUAUAUUCACACUUAUACUCUUGAUGCUUCACAGUUUUAUGUUUCCAUUGUUUGACUUAGGUGGCUACUUUUCAACUAACAAUAUUACCCUUUUCCUUUAAUAUUUGUUAUUUGAAGAAACACCUCAUUUUAAUCUGGUUGAACCUGUUCUUGACUUAAGGGCAUUGAAUUUUCAAAUCUGAGACUUAUUAGUUUACCAAUUUCUUAUGUCAAUGCAAUUACUAUUAUUUCAGUAAUUAGUAACGUAUAAAAAUCAUUUAGUAUUUUUGAAUAAAAUUGGAGAAGUUGAAUUCUAUUCCACACUGUUUACACAGAGACUUCUUGCAUGAGUUUUUUUUUUUUUAUGUAAAUAAAGAGGUAUAGGUUGAAUCUAAAGUGUCCCCCAAAGGCUCAGGUGCUGGAAAUUUGACCCACAGCUAAUGGUUCUGUUCAAGGAGACAACAACUUUAGGAGGGAAGGUCUAAAUUGAUGAAAUUUACAGAUUCCUGUUUGAAUUAAGAUGAACUGUUUUUCUGCUGUGAGAAAAAAAUCUAAAGGGCUACAGUCCUCCAACUGAUAGGGAACACAAAGGGUAAUAGUGGAAAUCACCCACUCCUCAGGUAUUUAUACAUAUGAACAUUUCUUUUGUUUUAUUUGACUUUGUUGUCCCUGCCUUCUCUACUAAGCAGAAAAGGUGGGUAAUUGAGAUAUAACCUUGGAAGGUGUAUUGUUUAACACAUUGCUUACACUCAUAAGGCUUUCCUCUAGGAUAAAUUUAUAGAUUUUUUGUUGUUGUUUUGUUGUUGGUACCAGAGUUUCAACCCAGGGGUGCUGAACCACUGAGCCACAUCUCCAACCCUAUUUUCCCUAUUUUAUUUAGGGACAGGGUCUCACUAAAUUGCUUAAGCUGUCUUUGAAAUUGUGAUCCUCCUUUCUUAGCCUCACAAACAUCUGGGAUUAUAGGCAUGCAUCACUGCACUUGGCUUGGUCAUGGUUUUGAGUGGAAUUUUAAUAAGCCAAGGCUUUACCACAUUGUUUCCAUUCAUAGUGCUUCUUUCAAAUAUGAAUUUUUUCAUGUUUCCUAAUGGAGCUAGAAUAAGUAAAAGCAUUUCUAUAUUGUUUACUUUAUAGGGAUUGUCUUUAAUAUAAAUUUUUAUGAAUAUAAAUAAAACUGUAAUAAGUGAAGGCUUUACCACAUUGAUUAUAUCCAUAAAGAUUCUCUCCAGUGAGAUCAAGAGAUCAUGUUUUUGAAAGUUCUUGAAAAAUUGAACUCUUCCCUAUGUAGCAUUCAUUUCUAAAUGAAUUACCAUUGUGCCUUACCUUGUCUAUGAUCAUUUGAGAGAAGUUCUUGUGACUUCUAUCCACACUCUUAUCUUUCAUAUGGCUUCUUGCCAGAGUCAGUUACAAUGUGCCUAUUGAGUAAUAGAUGGCAAGAAGACUUUUCCAUAAAUACUGUAUUCACAUGUAUUUUUCUUUUUAAGUUUGAGGUUUAAACACUAUAUAUAAUGUGUGUGUGUGUGUGUGUGUGUGUGUGUGUGUGUGUGUGUGUGUACUGGAGACUGAACCUAAUGCCUUGUUAAUGUGAGUCAAGCACUCUACCAACUGAGCUAUAUCCCCAGUCCAACACAUUAUCAUUUUUAUUUUAAAAGUGCCUCAAUCAUGAUUUCUCAGAAAAUUACAGUUUUAUUGUUGUUUUUAAUGUUUUUGUAUUAAUAGAAUUUUACUUACAUUAUUACCAAUAUAAGGGGAAGUCUGUAUGUCAUUUCUAAAUUGUUUGAAAGGAAAUGCACUGAUUAGUUGACUGACUGCUUCCCAAUAGUUACAAAAAAAGUGGUAUCCAUUAAUACACUUUCUUAGUAGUGUUUGCGAAUCUACUGUAUUUAAAACACUAAACAUCUAUAUUACAUUGAAGUAUAUCUUUCUGGUUAUAUAUUAAAAAAAAAACUUCUAGGAGUAAAUAUUUCAAAUUGUGCUUAUUUGGUUUGUUUGCUCGUUUCUAAUAUUACCUGGUGUGCUAAGAUUUUCUCAAGGAAAACUGCCUCUUACAAGUACAGAUUACUUUAGACUUUUCACAAGAUAUUGUUCAGAUCAUUAAUGUUCGGAUCCUCUGAUUUCCUAAACUGAAAAACCAAGAGAAUCAUUAUAAAUUAUUAACAAUUAUAAAAAAUAUGGGAUUUGAUGCACUAGACAAUGACAUCAAGCUGGAUAUAUUUCCUAAAGUAUUUGAUUUUGUAAAUAAAUGUUAUUCUAGACUGGGGAUACAGAUCAAUUUGUUGAAUGUUUGCCUCACAUGCCCAAGGCCCUGGGUUCAAUCCCUAGUGCUCACACACGCGUGUGUAAAUGCAUGCACUAACACACACACACACACACACACACACACACACACAAAUGCUAAUCUUACCUAGGUUUCUGAAGACUUCCUGCAUCACAUCUCUGCAUGGAUUUUACUGGGCAGGAUCCAGCAAAGUCUAAUCCUCCAGAAUGAAGUUAAUAGACAUUUCCUUUUUGGUUUCUGAAUUUUAAAACAUUACACAAAUGUAUAGUAGAGGCUGUGUAAGUUUGAUAUAAGUAGAAUAUAUACUCAAAAUGUCCAAGAUAUAUAUUAUAUAUAUACAUGUGUGUGUGUGUGUGUGUGUGUGUAUUCUAUAAUUUGGUCAUCAAAACUUAUAAGUAGAAUAUAUACUCAAAAUCUCCAAGAUAUAUAAUAUAUAUAUAAUCUCUAAGUCUCUCUCUCUGUCUCUCUGUCUUAUAUAUAUAUAUGUGUGUGUGUGUGUGUGUGUAUUCUAUAAUUUCGUCAUCAAAACUUAUACUGUGUGCAGUUUGUCAUACUCCAGCAUCCCAAUACUAGAACUAAACUACUCAGAAAAGCAACAGCAGAGCACACCAUUCUUAUUGGUAAGUACAGGGAGUAAGAUGUACUCCUUGGUCAUCCCUAACUUUUUUUUAAUAUGUUCUAACAAAGCUGUACUACUUCCUGUGAAGAAGAAAGAUAAUAUUAGGCUUCCCCAUAAUACCUAUCCUUAGAAAGGCCUAUUGAAAAAUUUGUCCCUUUGCUCAGAAUUUUAGAACAGUCUCAACAACCAAAGCAAUAAGAGACUCAUGGUGCCUAAGUAGUUUUAUGCAUUUUCUGAACGGCUUUUCUUAUGAACAUCUAUAUUUUGUUCAACUCUUAUGGCAGAACAUAGAGGAUUAGCUGUCAUCCUUCCUCAGAAAGAAACCUUUGCACAUGUAUUUAAUAAACACCCCUCACACAAAAUUUUUCACUUAGAUUGUCACAAUGUGUUAGUUGGAGAUUGAGCUCAUCCUACAUGAGUAGAUCAAGAGAACAAUUGGAAGUUUGCAAGUGGUUUACUCCAGACCAGAUUAAACCAAAUGAUAAGCAAGAAUAAUAAUUAAUAAACAUAUGAUUUUAUAAUGCAUAUUGUUUAAUGUCAAACCAGAUGUUUGAAUGGUAUUCUUAUCAAAUUUCAAAAAUCUACAAGACUCUAUAGUAGUCAGCAGAAACUACUCUCCCAAGCCUAAUGUUGAAUGUAUAAAAAUUUUCUUAACAACAGACUAUUAGCUUAUCUGAUAUAUAUUUAUGUGCCACACAAUAAUGCUUCAUUUAAGGAUAUUUUGUUCAAUAACAGGAUACAUAUACAUCAGCUCACCUGCUCUAAAUAGAUGGGUAAACUGUUAUAUAUUCAUGUAUAUGUCAGGUUAUAUAGUAUCCUGAACUGAGUUCUCUGCAUUCUUGCCAAUCCACAAUAUUAAAGAUGUUCCUUACAUGUCUGUUAUUUGUUAUAUUAACUUCCCUAAAUGUACUGAGGGACAGAAAACUUCUUGCUGAAGUGUGGCAGAGAAUAGAUAUAUCAGAUUAAUUCUGUGUGUUUUUAAGAAAUUGACAGAAAUUAUGAGCAAGGAAUAUUCCACUCACCAAGGAACUUAAUUGUCUAACAUGAAACUUUUUGGUGAGUAUAAAUUAGCAAAAGUAGCUAUGUAUGUUGAAUACACUCCCAGGAAAAUUAUAUGUUUUGAUAGGAACAAGACCAUCAAGGGUUCUGAGGCAAGAGAAGGACUUUGACAUUGACAGUCAUAAGUAUGUCCUCUGGAAUACUCUGUAAUUAUUUUUCUUACUCCAUUUCAGGAACUUCACAUGGAAGAAAUACAUCUGUGCAUUUUCCAUUUAUCUAAGUCUGAUUAUAAUUUAUACUAUAUGUUUCUGGCCUUGCAGCUCAAGUUUUUCCAGUAUAAGAAUAUUUUUUUUUAAUUUUAUUGAUUUUAUUUUUUUUAAAUACAUGACAGCAGAAUGCAUUAGAAUUCUUAUUACACAUAUAGAGCAUAAUUUUUCAUAUCUUUGUAUGUAAAGUAUGUUCACACCAAUUCAUGCCUCUAUACACGUACUUUUUUGCAUUAUAAUUCUUAUUACACAUAUAAACCACAAAUAUUCAUAUAUCUGUUUUUAUAUAAAGUAUGUUGACACCCAAUUUAAGUCUUCAUACAUGUACUUUGGAUAAUGAUGUCCAUCACAUUUUACCAUCCUUGCUAAUCUCCUGCCCCCUCCUUUUCCCUCCCACCCAUCUUUCCUAUCUAGAAUUCAUCUAAUAACAAUAAUUCUUGAUGUCACAAUGAUUUAGCUAAAGGUGGAAACCCUGAAUUUGGGGAAUUUUCAAAUCAUCCAGGGCACGAAUAUAAUUUAAUGGGUUUGUGUGGGUAUUGAAUCUCACAAUUUUUUUUAUCUGUUCAUCUGUUGAAGAACACCUCAAUUAGUUGAGCUGCUGUAUACAUUGACUUGACGUGGUUCUGUCAUUGUUAAUGCUGAUUUUAAGUUCUUUGAGUACAUACCAAGAAGGGCAAUAAUUGGGUAAAAUGAUGGUUCCAUUCCAAGUUUUUUGGAGGAAUCUCCAUAUAACUUUCCAAAGUUUGCAUUGCACCAGCAAUGUAUGAGUGUACCUUUUACCACACAUCUUUGCCAAAAUUUAUUGUUGCUUGUAUUCCUAAAAAUUGCCAUUCUGACUGGGGUGAGAUGAAAUCUCAGUGUAUUUUUGAUUUGCAUUUCUUUAAUUGCUAAAGAUAUUGUACAUAUAUUUAUAUAUUUGUUGAUUAGUUGUAUUUCUUCUUCUGUGAAGUGUCUUGUUCAGCUCCUUAGUCCUCUUAAUGACUGGAUUAUUUAGUUUCUUGGUGUUAAGUUUUUUGAGUUCUUUAUAUAUCCUGGAGAUUAAUGCUUUACCAGAUUUUCAGGUGGAAAUAUUUUCCUCCCAUUCUGUCAUCGUUCUGUUCAUGUUCUUUUCUCCUUUGCUAUGAAAAAAAUAUAUUUUUAGUUUGAUUCCAUCUCAUUUACUGAUUCUUGAUAAUAUUUCUUGUGCUUUAGGAGUCUUGAUAAGAAGUUAGUUCCUAAGCUGACAUGAUGUAGAUCUGGGACUACUUUUUUUUCCUAUGUGGCACUGUGUUCUAGUGCCUAUGUCUUUGAUCCNCCAUAUAAAUAUUCAUGAUUCUUUCAAGACCCAUGGUAACCCACGAUGAAUCCUCUAAAUCUAUGCCAAUGCACAAUUUUAAAUAGAUUUAUUGCAUGACAGUUAUCUGCCAGACUGUGUUUCUUGAAUAUACUGAUGGAAAAAAAUGUUCUUCAUGAAGAGCUGCCAAGCAGCACAUAAAUUCAACCAGGUAAUUUUGUGUACUUUUUGGAAAAUGAGAGUAAUUCUGGGUAAGAUACAUUCAAUCAGCCAGGAACUGGUUGAUUAUCAUAAUAGAAAUCUCCUUAGGAGAAUAAAAAAGUCAGAGUAGAUAAUUACAAUUAAAAAUCCACAUAGAAGCAUGUAUGUUGUGACACACAGAAACUCACUGUGUAUAAUGAGGCAGAAAGAAUACCUUGACAUAAACAGUGUUAUGAUUUAGAUGUGAGGUGUUCCCCAAAAGCUCAUGAAUGACAAAAUGCAAGAAAGUUUAUAUGUGAAAUGAUUGGGAUGAGAUUCUUAACAUAAUCAGUGCAUUAAUAUUCUAAUAGGGAUUAGCUGGGUAAUUGUAGGCAUUUUAAGAUGUGGCUAGAGAAGGGGGGUCAUUGAGGGCAUGAUUUUCGAAUUUAUAUUUUGUUUGUGGUAAGAAAUGCUCUCUCCUCCCCUCUUCCUUGUGGUUAUGUCCUGAGGCAAUUUCUUGUACCACAUCUAUUUAUUAUGAUCUUCUGGCAUACUUUGGGCAAAGAGUAAUAAAAUGAGCUGUCUAUGGACUGAGGCCUCUGAAAUGAUGAGCACCAAAUAAACUUCCUUCUCUGAAAAUCCCCAUCAAAAUACAAUGAAAAGCUUCAAAGAAUUAGGAAAAAAAGGUCCUACACUUUGUUUGGAAGAAUAAAUGAUCCAUAAUAGCCAAAUCAAUUCUGAGCAAGAAAAGUGAUUCAGGAGGCAUCACAGUAUCUUUUGCAAAUUAUACUGCAGAGCUAUAUUAGCCACAACAUCAUGGUACUAGCAUCAAAGUAGACAUAAAGACCAAUGGAAUGGAAUGGAAUAGAAUAGAAUAGAAUAUGGUGACAAAGCUGAACACCUACAGCCAUCUGAUACUUGAGUUGGAGAACAUAGAGACUUUAUAUUAAAGGCAUUGUGAAAAAAUGGAUAUGUAUAUGUAGAGGAAUCAACUUAUAUUCCUAUCUUUCAUCCUGCACAAAACUCAUAUCAAAAUGGAUCAAAUACUUAGAAAUAACGUAAGAAACCUUGAAACUUCUAGAAGAGAAAGGGUUAACACUGCAUCACAAAGUUGCAGGCACUGACUUCCUCAACAAAACCCCUAAAGCCCACAAUGUAAAACCAAAAAUCAAUAAGAUGGAUGUCACCAAAUUAAAAAGCCUUUGCACAGUAAAGGAAAUGAUUAAAGGGGGGAGGUUAUGGAAUGGGAGAAAACCUUUGCCAGCUACUCCUUUGACAAAGGACUAAUAUGCAUAAUAUAUAAAGUCAAAAAUUUCAAUGCCAAACAGAAAACAAAUAGUCCAAUCAAUAAAUGGAUAAAAUAAACAUAAACAUCACAAAACAAGAAACACAAAUGGCCAAAAAAUAUAUGAAAUGUUCAGCAUCUCUAGCAAUUAGGGAAGUGCAAAUCAAAAUUACACAAAAAAUUCAUCUCACUCCAUUCAGAAUGUCAAUUAAUAAAGAACAUAAAUAAUAAUAAAUGCCAGCAAGUACAUGGGGAAAAAGAUACAUUCUUACAUUGUUGGUGGGACUGAAAAUUAGAACAGCUGGAAAUCAAUAUGUAGAUUCCUGAAAAAACUAGGAAUUUGUCCAGAGAGGUGUUUAUUCAAAAGAUCUAAAAUGAGCAAACUAUAACUUUACAGCCACUAUAAUGUUUGUAGGACCACAUUCAAACAGCCAAAUUGUAGAAUCAACCCAGAUCCCAUCAACAGACAAGUGGAUUAAGAAAAUGUGGUGUAUAUAUUCACAAUGAAGUUGUACUCAGCUAUAAAGAAAGAAAUAAUGGCCUUUGCCAGUAAAUGGAUGGAAAUGGAGAAAAUCAUGCUAACUCAGAAAACAGGCAGACAUAUGUUUUUUCUCACAUGCAGAAGCUGGAGCAAAAUAAUUGAAAGACACUGGUGGGAAAGAGGACUGGAUAUCAUCAUGAUAUAUGAAAGAUUAUUGUAGUAGAUGUAGGAAAAUGAUGGGGAGGAAGGGAAAGAGAAACAUAAAAAGAUGAAUUUAACAAAAUCAUGUUAUAUACACAUAAAGAUACUAAGGGAAUUUCUUAUGCACAUGUAGAAGAAAGGGAAAUUUAGCAGAGUUGAGGAGAAAGAAUUGGGGGAGAAAGAAAAAAAAAAGAACAGAUGGAACUUGAAAUCCAAUUCCUUGCAUGUAUGCUUUUGUCAAAAUAAACCUAAUUAAUAUGUAUAAUUAUGAUGCCUUCAUAAACAAUUUUUUAAAAAAGAAUAUCCCUUCCUUUCUUUUACCUAUCAGACUAGUUUGCUUUGAUGUAGUGAGCAAAAAACAUAUUCUUUCUGCUUGUCAUCAAAGUAAGGCAUCAAUUCACCCCAGUUAUUCUAUAUGUUUUAUGGAUACUCACAGAAACUUUAACUAGUAAACAUUUUAAUCUCCAAGUAACAUGUCAUAUUAGAAAACCCUAAUUAUCAUAUUAGAAAACCCUUUCGGUGAGUAGAAGAGAGGCAGUGUAGCUGAGUACAAUAAAUACACCUUCUGGAAAUUUAUAUAUAUGAUACAUGCAAGCCUCCUAAUACUACCAAGGUAGGAAGAAAAAUUUGGUUUGUUCAACUAUUGGUAUGUCCUUAGAAAUAUUUCCAGAAUAUUUUCCCCCAAUCACAGUGUCCUUAUCUUGAGCAAAUAUAUCUAGGCAAUUCCCUUUUACCUGACUUUUUUCUGGGAACAUUGACCACAAAUGUUUUCUUUGAUAUAAGAGCCAGUUUCAGUUGUGCCACAAAAACGUGUCUUGAUUUCAUAAAAAGUUUGCUGUAGGCAGGUUCUGGGUGUGGGGCUUGGCAAAAAUAAUGGGCCAAACUUUAUGCCAGCUGUGAAACAGUUUAUCUUCAAAGUUUCUCUGUGAAUACGUUGGGAGAGAAAUUUAGGCCUUGCUCUGAAAAUGAUGAACUUGGAAGAGUGAAUAAUACUGAGUUUCAGGCAGAGCAGAUCAUAGAUGGAUGGCUCCAUACUGCUAAGUGCCACUUUUGUCAUAACUAAGGUGCACUGUAUGAAGACUGUUGUAUUUGUUAGCUUUUUUUUAAUGCUGUGGCUUACAGCCUAAUUAACAAUUUAGAGAAAUGAAAGUUUCUUUGGGCUCAUGGAUUUAAAUCUUCAGUCUAUAAUGGGCUGGCUCUAUUUCUCUGGACCUAGAGUGAAUCAGAAUAUCUGGGUGGAAGUACAUUGUGCUGAAAAUCUGCUUACCUAAUGACAGCCAGGAAGCACAGGGUGAGCAGGCAAAGCCAGGAACAAAAUAUGUAAUUCCUAGAGUAUGCCCCUAGUGACACACUUACUUUAAUCAGGCUCCAUGUAUCUAAGGUUACUAUCCAGUACAGUAGUACUCUCAAAUUAUCAAACCAUCAACUGCAUUAAUGCACUGAUUAGGUUAUAGUUUUUAUAAUCUAACAAUUUUAUCUCUUAGUAUUUCUGUAUUAACAGGGGAUUCUUUGGAGCACAAACUAUAUCUAAACCAUAAUACUCCUUUUCUAACCCUCCUAAUGCUAAUUUGCAUCAUAACAAAGCAAAACAUUUUGCCCACCUUCAAGAGUCCCCAAAGUAAGAAUACUUCCAGGAUUCCCCAAAAGUUCAAGUUCAAAGCAUACUUAGAGACUGGAGGUGAAUUCUUGGCCAUGAGGCCUUUUAAAAAUCAAAAGCAAAAUAUACACAUCCAAUAUAUAAUGUCACAGUGUACAAAAUCCAACUCCAAAAGACAUGGAUAUAGACAUAGAAAAAAGGAAUGUGAUCAAAAUAAGACCUAAAUCCAGUUGGGGAAAACAUUAGGUCUAGUAGCACCAAAUCUAGCAUCUGGGGUACAUUGGCAAUGAAAUGUGCUCCCGAAAGAACUCAGGCACCCCACCCCUGUGACUUUGUUUGUUGCAGCUUAUAUGCCUCUCCCUUAGGCUGGCUUUGUCCGCAGCCAAUAGUUUUCAUUGGUACAUAUUCCAUGUGCCACGCUAAAUCUAGAACAACUCCACUGCAGCACUGCCUCCCUUCUCACACUUUCAUCUGUCAUACUUGCAAGAUUUUCACCCUGGUAUGUUUUUCCUGACCUUCAAGGGUUUGUUUGGAAAUCUUGAUGGAAGCUCUAGGGUCCUUUAACUCCAGUAUCCUGCAUUCCUUCAGAAAACUAAGCCUAUCGGUGAGGCCAAGGUCUGUUUCCCAGCUUGUGCAGCAAUAGCUAUGUGUUCUUGGACCACAGCUGCAAAGGACUUUUGAAUGCCUGGGCAGCUGAGCAUGUUGAAACGAAUCCUGAGAUUCAUUUCAGCAUCCCUGUGCAGUACAGUUCUCCAAAGGUCUUUUUUAUUUUUAUUUUUUCUCAUUUGUGAAGUAGUCAAUAUAUUUAUUUUUAGAACAAAUCCCAUGUUUAAAGGUAUUUCCACAUAAAAUUACAGUAUAUGUUUUCAGCAUACACAAACUAUGAAACACAUAUACAACAGAUAGAUAGAUAUAUAAAAUGUGGCAUAUAUACACAAUGGAGUAUUACUGGGUUCUUAAGAUGAAUUUAUGAUAUUUGCCAGUAAAUGGAUGGAUGUGGAAAUCAUCGUGCUAAGAGAAAUAAGACAGUCCCACAAAACCAAAGUCAAAUAUAUUUGCUGAUAGGUGGAAUAUAAUCCACAAUAAAUAGGGGAAUAGAAAUUCAGUAGAUUAGAAAAAGAGAAAUUAAGGGAAGGGAGGAGGGUUAGGAAAAAGAAAGUGGAAUGAAUCUGGCAAUUUUUUUUUUUUUUUUAAAGAAAAGAAAAUUUUAUUAUAAGGAUACUGGGAAGUCUCACAAAAAUAGAACAACAAAAUGGCUGCACACCCACUACAGGUAAAAGCAGAAUGUAUUUUCUGGGAGAUGCAGGGAGGAUGCAUUCCCUUCACAGUCAUCUCUGCUUCUCUCCAGUUUCAGUAUAACUCACAUGGUUGUUGUUAUUGAUUUUCCUCUAUCAAAUGGCAAAAACAAAGCAGUUGAUAGUUUUCUUUUUUUUAUUGUUUGUUCAAAACAUUACAAAGCUCAUGUAGCAGAAUACAACAGUCAUUAAUAUGGUAUUAUGUAAAAAUGUGGAUGUGUAACCUAUGUGAUUCUGCAACUUGUAUUUGGGGCAAAAGUGGGAGUUCAUAACCCACUUGAAUCAAAUGUAUGAAAGAUGAUAUGGCAAUUUUUUUUUGAGAUGGAGAGAGAGAAUUUUAAUAUUUUCAGUUUUUAGUUUCAGCGGACACAAUACCUCUGUUGGUAUGUGGUGCUAAGGAUCGAACCUGGGCUGCACGCAUGCCAGGCGAGCGCGCUACCACUUGAGUCACAUCCCCAGCCCCCUGGCAAAAUUUUUUAAUGUACACAUAUAAAUAUAUAGUGAAUCCCACUAUCAUGUAGACCCACAAGAAUGAAGUCAUAAUUAGAGUAAGAUAUAUUCCAUGCUUGUAUAAUUAUAUCUCAUGUCUCAUAAAGGUGUUUUCACUUCUACACUCUUUGUCCUUCAGUGGGUGUGGCCUUGCUGAUUGCUGGGUUGUCCUCAAAGCACAUUUUCUAGGUUCUCUGAGCACGAUAUUAGCCUCCUGUUUUUAAACAACAUUAAUCUCUUCAGAAAUAAAACUUCACUUUACAUAUAUUUUUAUGGCCAUAUUGCAAAACUUAAAAAAUUUUGCUCUGCUUUCUGCUUCUGAUUCUCAAAUAAACCUUAUUAAAAUCUUUCAGAAACACCUAGGCCACCUAUUGAAUAUUGUGCUGCCUUGAAAUAUCCUCCACUAGGAUAAUUAGUCCAUCAACAUUAAAGUUAUCCUGAAAGAGAGUCUCAUGAUAUGGGCAAAGUGUCAAAAAAUUCUUUGCCAGAAUGCAACACAAAUGCUCUUGUCCAAGACUUAUGUUGUAGUUAAGUGAUAUAGAACUUUGGGGCUUAAUCCCAAGCACCACACAUUAAAAAAAAAAAAAAAAAAGUUGGAUGACCUAAAGAUCCAGAAAUGCCAGCACUCCAUGAACAAUUAAAUCAGCCAAUUGAAGAGAUACCUCUGCUUUUGUGUUUAGUGCAAACAUUGUUCUUUAUAUUCAAGACAGGGACUCACUAUAUGUGCCUAUCAAUGAUUAAAUGAGUAUAAAUAUUGUACUUAUAUACUAUUAUUAUUUAGUUAUAUAAAAUAUUUUGUCUCUUAAAGUGUUAUAAGAUAUAUAUGCAGGACUUUGCAGUAAGUAAAAUAUGGCAGGCAGAGAGUCAGUUGUAGGAGCUUUUGAUUCACAUGUGGAAGUCAAAAAUUUAAUGAGUAAAAUUUUACUCACCAGGCACUGUGUUUUGUAUAGGGCUGACACUGUUAGUCAAAGUCUCCAUAUUUUUUAUUUUAGUGGGCAUAAGAAGGUCAAGAGUUUUGUUUACCACAUGGUGAGUGUAGUGUGUAUUAUGUUCUUCAUAAAUACUAAUAGAAGGAAUACAAUACCUUUUAAGUGCAAAACUGAUAAUUAUAUAAAAUAAUGCAUGUGCUGAAUCAUUUUAGUCAUUUUACCUUGUAUAAAUAGUAUAAGAUACCAUAAUAUAUGUAGUAAAUGCAUAAAGUUGUAUUUCAUUAAAAGAAAUCAUCAUAUCACACAAAUUUAAAACUAUAAAAAUCAAUUUAUUAUUCUUGAUUGCCAUAUUUUGAUUUCAUCCAAGUAUUAUGGCCAUAGGCUAUGCAAGGUUUCUUUAGUCUUUUAAAUAUGUUUUUAGGGAAAAUUUUAUAGACAUAUAUGUAUAUAUUUCUUAGUAAAAUUUUUGUUCAUAUUUCUUUUUAAGAGUCCAUAACCACUUUACCCUUGUUGAAUAUUUAUGGUAUUAUCACCCAAAAUCUAUCAGUUAUUUUUAUGUCUCUAUGUCAUGGUAGAUAAAAACCAGUUUUCAGACACUCUUUAAAAAAGCCACAGAUAUUUAUAUAUGUUUUACAUUUUCCUUAUUGUACUGAGAGUGAAGGUAACUGGUAGAUAUUUACUAAAUACAGAAUGCUACCUUAUGGAGGACAAAAGUCUAUGGAUGAUAAAAGUAACAUACUUUCCUUCUCUCUAUUGUAUUACUCUACUUAGUGAUGUAUUACUCUUGGAUACUGUGGUCUCUUCAAAAAUUUGGGUAAUAUUCCCAAGGUAAUUUUGUCUAUACAUUUUUAUUGAACUGAUAUAUUUCUGGAUUGAUGAAAACUUUGGAUUUACUAAUCUGCUACACUCCUGAUGUACUUAUUUUACCUUAACUUCAUGUUGUGUAUGCAAAUAUAUUUAUCCCAGUCUAGUAUGUAAUUUUUUAAAAAUUUUUUGUUUACUUCAGACAUGACUCCUUAUCACACCGAAGAAUAUUCACCAGAAAAGGGCAUAAAACAUAUAUUUCACAAAGUGAUAAGUGGGAAAUACAGAAAUUUUUAUCUUGACUAUUUACAAGAAAAGAAAAUAUGGAAAACUAUAAGUGAGAGUAAACAUCAGGAA
rnacentral:lncRNA from 1 species